rnacentral:rRNA from 1 species
UGGGGAAUAUUGGGCAAUGGGCGCAAGCCUGACCCAGCAACGCCGCGUGAGGGAUGAAGGUCUUCGGAUUGUAAACCUCUGUUGUAGAUGACGAAGAAUGACGGUAAUCUACCAGCAAGCCCCGGCAAACUAUGUGCCAGCAGCCGCGGUAAUACAUAGGGGGCGAGCGUUGUCCGGAAUUACUGGGCGUAAAGGGAGCGUAGGCGGUUAGGUAAGUUGUAUGUGAAAACCCUGGGCUUAACUCAGGACCUGCAUACAAAACUGUCUGACUAGAGUGUGGGAGGGGAGAGUGGAAUUCCUAGUGUAGCGGUGGAAUGCGUAGAUAUUAGGAGGAACACCAGUGGCGAAGGCGACUCUCUGGACCAUAACUGACGCUGAGGCUCGAAAGCGUGGGGAGCAAACA